AUGGCAUCCAACCAGGAGCAGGCGAGCUACCGCGCCGGCGAGGCCAAGGGCCACACCCAGGAGAAGGCUGGGCAGGUGAUGGGCGCGGCCAAGGACAUGGCGUACGAGGCCAAGGACCGGGCGGCGGGCAUGGCCGGGCACGCGUCCAGGCAGGGGCAGGGAACCACGGAGGCCACCAAGCACAAGGCCGGCGAGGCCACCGACAAGGCGUCUCAGACGGCGCAGGCGGCCAAGGACAAGGCUGCCAGCACGGCGCAGGCCGCCAAGGACCGCACCGUCGAGAGCAAGGACCAGACCGGCAGCUUCCUCGGCGAGAAGACGGAGAUGGCAAAGCAGAAGGCGGCGGAGACCGCCGAGGCGGCCAGGCAGAAGGCGGCGGGGGCGGCGCAGUACACGCAGGACAGGACCUACGACGCGGCGCAGUACGCCAAGGAGUCCGCCGUCGCCGGCAAGGACAAGACCGGCAGCGUGCUCCAGCAGGCCUGCGAGACGGUGGUGAACGCCGUGGUGAGAGCCAAGGACGCCGUGGCCAACACGCUGGGCAUGGGCGGCGACAACAACACCAACGCCACCAAGGACACCACCACCGAGAAGAUCACCAGGGAUCACUAG
rnacentral:rRNA from 1 species